rnacentral:rRNA from 1 species
ACAUAACUGAUGCCUCCGCGUAUCGACUUUGUGCGCAUUUUAGCUAUUAUGUGUUCUUUUAAUUAAAAUGAUUCUUUUUAAGAUUCAUCUAUUAAAAAUUUGCUUCGGCAUAAUUUUUUUUGAUGAUCUUGUUACUUUGAGUAAAUUAGAGUGUUCAAAGCAAACAGAUAUAGCAUUUGUGCGUUUGAAUACUACAGCAUGGAAUAACAAAAUUGAACAAGUCAGAAUUUUUUUGUUCUUUUUUCUUAUUUUGGCUUAGUUACGAUUAAUAGGAGUAGCUUGGGGGCAUUUGUAUUCAGAUGUCAGAGGUGAAAUUCUUAGAUUUUCUGGAGACAAACAACUGCGAAAGCAUUUGCCUAAAAUACUUCCAUUAAUCAAGAACGAAAGUUAAGGGAGUGAAGACGAUCAGAUACCGUCGUAAUCUUAACCAUAAACUAUGCCGACUAGGCUUUGGAUGAAAGAUUUUAAAAUAAGAGUUUUUCUUUUCUCUCCGGAGAUUAGAACUCUUAGAUUGCUUCCUUCAGUGCCUUAUGAGAAAUCAAAGUCUUUGGGUUCUGGGGCGAGUAUUCGCGCAAGCGAGAAAGUUAAAAGAAUUGACGGAAGGGCACCACCAGGCGUGGAGCUUGCGGCUUAAUUUGACUCAACACGGGAAAACUCACUAGUUUAAGACAAGAGUAGGAUUGACAGAUUAAUAGCUCUUUCUUGAUUUCUUGGAUGGUGAUGCAUGGCCGUUUUUAGUUCGUGAAUAUGAUUUGUCUGGUUAAUUCCGAUAACGAACGAGAUCUUAACCUGCUAAUUAGCGGCAAAUACGAUAUAUUCUUAUGUAGAAUUGAAUAUAGUGGAUUUGUUGGAUUUUGAAGAAAAUAUUGGAAUUACGUUUAAAUGUGAUUCCUUUCCCUUUUCUACUUAAUUUACAUUUCCAUCUAUUUCUUUUUUGCGUAUGAAUGUAUUUGCUUGAUUGUAAAGCUUCUUAGAGGAACGAUGUGUG